UACGAAGGGGGCUAGCGUUGUUCGGAAUUACUGGGCGUAAAGCGCACGUAGGCGGAAUGUUAAGUCAGGGGUGAAAUCCCGGGGCUCAACCCCGGAACUGCCUUUGAUACUGGCAUUCUCGAGUCCGGAAGAGGCGAGUGGAAUUCCUGGUGUAGCGGUGAAAUGCGCAGAUAUCAGGAGGAACACCGAUGGCGAAGGCAGCUCGCUGGGACGGUACUGACGCUGAGGCGCGAAAGCGUGGGGAGCAAACAGG
rnacentral:rRNA from 1 species